AAGUCGAACGGAUUAGUUGGGAGCUUGCUCCCGGCUAAGUGAGUGGCGGACGGGUGAGUAACGCGUGAACAAUCUGUCUCAUGCAGGGGGACUAGCGCAUCGAAAGAUGUGCUAAUACCGCGUAGGACCACGGAAUCGCAUGGUUCUGAGGUGAAAGGAGCAAUCCGGUAUGAGGUGAGUUCGCGUCUGAUUAGAUAGUUGGUGAGGUAACGGCCCACCAAGUCAACGAUCAGUAGCCGACCUGAGAGGGUGAUCGGCCACAUUGGGACUGAGACACGGCCCAGACUCCUACGGGAGGCAGCAGUGGGGAAUAUUGGGCAAUGGGCGGAAGCCCUGACCCAGCAACGCCGCGUGAAGGAAGAAGGUUUUCGGAUCGUAAACUUCUGUCCUAUGAGAAGAUAAUGACGGUAUCAUAGGAGGAAGCCCCGGCUAACUACGUGCCAGCCGCCGC
rnacentral:rRNA from 1 species